GAUGAACGCUGGCGGCGUGCUUAACACAUGCAAGUCGAACGGCGAAGCAGGAGCUUGCUCUUGUGGAGCAGUGGCGAACGGGUGAGUAACACGUUAGCAACCUGCCCCUGACUCUGGGAUAAGCGCUGGCAACGGCGUCUAAUACUGGAUAUGUGAUGUGACCGCAUGGUCUGCAUCUGGAAAGAAUUUCGGUUGGGGAUGGGCGCGCUGCCUAUCAGCUUGUUGGUGAGGUAAUGGCUCACCACGGCGUCGACGGGUGCCCGGCCGGAGAGGGUCACCGGUCCAACUGGAAUUGGACCGCGGCCCAGCGUCCUCCGGGAGGCAAGGUUGGGGAAUAUUGCCCAGUGGGCGGAAGGCUGAUGCAGCACCGCCGCGAGAGGGAUGCCGGCCUUGGGGUUGGAACACUCUUUUAGCAGGGCGGAAGCGAAAGUGACGGUACCUGCAGAAAAAGCACCGGCUAACUACGUGCCAGCCGCCGCGGUAA
rnacentral:rRNA from 1 species